rnacentral:pre_miRNA from 10 species
CUCCCCAAAUAAAGUUCUGUGAUACACUCAGACUGUAAUUGACGGUAGUCAGUGCAUUACAGAACUUUGUUUUGGGAGU